UACGGAGGGUGCAAGCGUUAAUCGGAAUCACUGGGCGUAAAGCGCGCGUAGGCGGCUUUUUAAGUCAGAGGUGAAAUCCCACGGCUCACCCGUGGAACUGCCUUUGAUACUGGAAGGCUUGAGUGAGUGAGAGGAUAGUGGAAUUCCUGGUGUAGGAGUGAAAUCCGUAGAGAUCAGGAGGAACAUCAGUGGCGAAGGCGACUAUCUGGCACUAUACUGACGCUGAGGUG
rnacentral:rRNA from 1 species